rnacentral:rRNA from 1 species
UUGGCUCGUUCUAUAUGGUCAGUCAUCCAGAUAGCUUCUGGCUUAUAUCCUCCUUGUAGUGUUGCUAAUGUAUUUGGCAACUGGUUACAUGGGAUAGAUUACAGGUUCAGAACUAUUCUUAGGGUGGGAGCGCUUGCCGUUAUUUGGUCGCUUUGGCUAUGUAGAAAUGAUAAGGUGUUUAACGAUAAAAGUACUUCUCUGAUGCAGGUUAUCUACAGGUGUACCGGGACUCUUCGUUUAUGGUCCUCUCUACAACGUGUGGAGAAUCGAGGCAUGUUUACGGAGGUGUGUACACGAUUGGAGGAUACGGCGAGGGAUACUUUUACCCAACAUGGGUGGCGAUUGGCCCACCUCCGCUUUAGGCGUUAUACAUACUCUGUUUAUUUGCAUUUCGCUUUUUUAAUUUUCGUUUGUGUGAGAGAACUUGUUUGGCUGUGUGCAUCAUAG